rnacentral:rRNA from 1 species
CCUACGGGAGGCAGCAGUAGGGAAUUUUCGGCAAUGGGGGGAACCCUGACCGAGCAACGCCGCGUGAACGAAGAAGUUAUUCGUAAUGUAAAGUUCUUUUAACAGGGAAGAAAGAGAAAUUUGACGGUACCUGAAGAAUAAGCUCCGUCUAACUACGUGCCAGCAGCCGCGGAAAUACGUAGGGAGCGAGAGUUAUCCGGCUUUAUUGGGGUUAAAGGGUGCGUAGGCGGACUGCCAAGCCAGCGGUAAAAUCGCGGGGCUAAACCUCGCUCCGCCGUUGAAACUGGCGUUCUUGAGUGGGCGAGAGGUAUGCGGAAUGCGUGGUGUAGCGGUGAAAUGCGUAGAUAUCACGCAGAACUCCGAUUGCGAAGGCAGCAUACCGGCGCCCAACUGACGCUGAAGCGCGAAAGCGUGGGUAUCGAACAGGAUUAGAUACCCGUGUAGUC